AUGAAGAGCCUGAUUAAAGGACUCUCGUGAUAGGAUAAAAAAUGUAGAACC
rnacentral:tRNA from 1 species